rnacentral:rRNA from 1 species
UACAGAGGGGGCAAGCGUUGUUCGGAAUUACUGGGCGUAAAGGGAGCGUAGGCGGAUAGUUUAGUCAGAGGUGAAAGCCCAGGGCUCAACCCUGGAAUUGCCUUUGAUACUGGCUAUCUUGAGUGUGGGAGAGGUUAGCGGAACUCCGAGUGUAGAGGUGAAAUUCGUAGAUAUUCGCAAGAACACCAGUGGCGAAGGCGGCUCACUGGCCCGGUACUGACGCUGAGGUGCGAAAGCGUGGGGAGCAAACAGG